GGGUCAGUAGGUUGGUCGUGCCACCGGUACGUACUGGUCUCACUGAUUCCUCCUUCCUGAGGAACCGUGAUGCCAUUAAUUUGGUGUUGCGGGGAAACAGGACUGUUACUUUGAAAAAAUUAGAGUUUUUAAAGCAAGCUAACGCUUGAAUACAUUAGCAUGGAAUAAUGAAAUAGGACGAUCGAUCCUAUUUUGUUGGUUUCUAGGGUUGACGUA
rnacentral:rRNA from 1 species